CAGCAAUGAUGGAAAGCUUUUACUACUGACCUCUGUAACUAUGAAGGUUUCUGCACUUGAUCUGAGCUCA
rfam:Pteropus alecto contig4619, whole genome shotgun sequence.